ACUCCAGCCUCCACCAUGUCCACAAGGGUGACCCAGAAGACCUACAAGUGUCCUCCUCUGGCCCCCGGGCCUUCAGCAGCCGCUCGUACUCGAGUUCUACCAGAUCCCGCAUCAGCUCCUCGCCCUUUUUCCAGGCAGGCGGCGGCUACCGGCCUGCUCUGGGCAUCAACAUGAAUCUGGCCGGGGGCUACCGUGGGGCUGGGAGUAUGGAGAUCAUUACAGCUGUCCAAGUGAACCAGAGCCUGUUGAGCCCCCUGAAGCUAGAGGUGGACCCCAACAUCCAGGACAUGCGCAACCAGGAGAAGGAGCAGAUCAAGAGUCUCAACAACAAGUUUGCCUCCUUCAUCAAGGUGCGGAGCUUGGAGCAGCAGAACAAGGUCCUGGAGACCAAGUGGCACUUCCUGCAGCAGCAGAUGAUGACUCGCAGCGACAUGGACAGCAUGUUCGAGAGCUACAUCAGCGACCUUUGGCGGCAGCUGGACAUGUUGGCUCAGGAGAAACUGAGGCUGGAGUUGGAGUUUGGCAACAUGCAGGGGCUGGUGGAGGACUUGAAGAAUAAGUACAAGGAUGAGACCAACAAGCGCACAGAGAUGGAGAACGAAUUUGUCCUCAUCAAGAAGGAUGUGGAUGAAGCUUACAUGAACAAGGUAGAGCUGGAGUCCCACCUGGAAGGGCUGACUGAUGAGAUCAACUUCUUCAGGAAGCUGUCUGCCGAGGAGAUCCGUGAGCUGCAGGCCCAGAUCUCCGACACGUCCGUGGUCCUCUCCAUGGACAACAACUGCUUCCUGGACCUGGACGGCAUCAUUGCUGACGGAUCAAGUACGAAGAGCUGCGGACGUUGGCUGGGAAGCAUGGGGAUGACCUGCGUCACACGAAGACGGAGAUUUCUGAGAUGAACUGGAACAUCAGCCGAAUCCGGGCUGAGAUCGAUGCCCUCAAAGGCCAGAGGGCUUCUCUGGAGGCUGCCAUCACUGAUGCUGAGCAGCAUGGGGAGAUGGCCAUCAAGAAGGCUCAGGCCAACGUCGCCAAAUUGGAGGCUGCUCUGAAAACCGCCAGGCAGAACUUGGCCCAGCUGCUGAAGGAGUGCCAGGAGCUCAUGCACGUCAAGCUGGCCCUGGACGUGGAGAUUGCCACCUAUCGGAAGCUGCUGGAGGGGGAGGAGAGCAGGCUGGAGUCUGGGAUGCAAAACAUGAGUAUCUAUACCAAGAUCACCAGCGGCAACGCAGGUGGGCUGAUGAGCCCAGUCUAUGGGAACGUCGCAAGCCCUGGCUUCAACUACGGCUUAAACUUCCAGUCCAACUUCAGCUCUGGCAGGGACUCUGGCUACUCCAGCUGCACCAGCACCAGCUCCUCCAAGACCGUGGUUGUGAAGAAAAUUGAGACUAGAGAUGGCAAACUGGUGUCUGAGUCAUCUGCCCAAGUAAAAGGCUAGGCUACUGGGGUCCUUCCUGGCUUCCGACCUUGUGGGAAAGGAGCUGAGCAAGGAAGGGU